rnacentral:lncRNA from 1 species
GACUGCAGUCAGACCAUUGGAGAGAAUCAUAAAGGGCAAGGGAAAGAAGGAAGGACAGGUCACAUGUUAAGAGAGGAAAAGGAGAUAAAGCCAGGAUGGCUUCAGCUACUGACUCCUUGUGGAAACAAAGCUUCUAUUAGCCCAUAGAAAAUGAGAAGUCUCCGAGGAUACUGAAAAAGGUUAUCAUGUGUUCAAGUCUUUAGACUCAAGGAUCAUAAAAGACUAUUGAGAGAUGAAAAGAAGAAGAAACCAUGAAAUGGAUGAUGUGGUCCCUAGGAGAUUCUGGAGCUGAAAGCAUGGUAUUCUUAAAGAGAGCAUGUGGAUCCAUUGAACCAUUCAACCUGAUCUCUGUUCAAAACUCUGCUGGAAACUAGAGGACCAAAAAAGAAAUGUAAGACUUCUAGUUGGUGAGAGGAGAUAGAU